rnacentral:rRNA from 1 species
UAGGGAAUCUUCCGCAAUGGACGAAAGUCUGACGGAGCAACGCCGCGUGAGUGAUGAAGGUUUUCGGAUCGUAAAACUCUGUUGUUAGGGAAGAACAAGUACGAGAGUAACUGCUCGUACCUUGACGGUACCUAACCAGAAAGCCACGGCUAACUACGUGCCAGCAGCCGCGGUAAUACGUAGGUGGCAAGCGUUGUCCGGAAUUAUUGGGCGUAAAGCGCGCGCAGGCGGUCCUUUAAGUCUGAUGUGAAAGACCACGGCUCAACCGUGGAGGGUCAUUGGAAACUGGGGGACUUGAGUGCAAGAGAGAAGGGUGGAAUUCCACGUGUAGCGGUGAAAUGCGUAGAGAUGUGGAGGAACACCAGUGGCGAAGGCGACUCUUUGGCCUGUAACUGACGCUGAGGCGCGAAAGCGUGGGGAGCAAACAGG